UUCAGGCCAACGUGGAGGGUAAAGGUGAGUAUUGUUGGAGCUAGCUAGAUCACUAUAUCUCUGCUUGGAAACAGUGUAAUAGGGGAAUAAAAAGGCUGCCUCUUUUGUGAAGUUCAGGCGGUGGUGGAAGGGGAUUGAUUUUUUCCAUAAGGCUUAUUUUUUUUAUGCCAAUACAUGAAGAGUAAGCUCUUUUUUUUGUUUAGCACUGUAAUUUUAGAUUUUAUGAGAUGGAGUACUGUUAUCCGCCUUGCAAAAAUUUAGAUUUCUUUCACAAGAAUUCUUAAAAGCUUAUGUAUUCAGCAUGAUUCUUGUACCAUGUUUCAGUCUCCACUGGAGCCUUGUGAUAGUUUCAGUCUCCAUUGCCAUUGGAGCCUUAUGAUAGUUUGCAUCCUUUUCCAAAUAAAAUUAAAUUACAAACCCAAUAACAAUAAAAAAUAGUAUAAUAAUGUUUAAGUACUUAAUGGGUGUCUUUACCAAUGGAGGUCCAAAUUUGAUGAGUUUCUUACAACUUAAUUUAAAUUAAAAUGUAUUUACUGUACCUUAAUCUAUUAUUGUAGCUUUGGUUUGCCUUGUGUUUAUUUAUAGUCUGUGAGAUGAGUGCCUUUACGAGGUUUCUUUGAGUCAACCAGGUUGAUUUUGGUUGUGAUUUGCUGCUGCCCAGAAGAAGAGGUGGAUCGGAUAAUUCACGGCUUUCUAGCAAUCUAAAUUGGUCUGGUUCUGAAGAACUUCUGCCUUAGUCCUUAGGAGUAUCAACAUGCUUUUUACCUUCUAGAGAACCCUUUCAUUGUGAGUUUAUCUGUUUUAAACAUCUCUUUGACUUUGGUAAAAGCACACAUGGGCGCACCAGAGUUUAAACACUUGUAAACUGCCUGCAAUGAGUAUUUGGCUUUCUUUUUUCUUUUUUUGGAUCAAACUAAGUAUUUGGCUUUCUAAGUUCAUACUUUGCUUUUGAUUUGUUUAAGCAUAGAUUGGUCGUUCACGAUCUAACAGAAUCAAUGAUAAGUUGCAGAGAGUCUAUUUUAUAGGAGAAGACACAUAAAUGAGGAUGAAAUAAGUGUGGAAGGCACAUGUGUAGAGACUGAUGACAGUUAAAACAAAAUUGUAACAGAAUCCAGUUAGGGUGGAGGCUAUUAAUAGUUGUCGCAAUGUAACAAGAGAGGCAUGUGAUAUGUGGAGUAAACCAGUCGUGAUGAGGCUGCGUUUAGAGUCUGAGAGAUGUGAAUCAAGAUUCGAAUACUCAAUUGUGUUGUUCUUGAGUUUCUUUGACUGACAUUGUUGUUCGUAAUACUGUUGGAUGUACAAGGAACAAAGAUGUACAGAGCAUUUUGUAGAGUCAGUAAAGGAUAACUUUUACAUAUCAAA